rnacentral:rRNA from 1 species
CCUACGGGGGGCAGCAGUGGGGAAUAUUGGACAAUGGGCGAAAGCCUGAUCCAGCCAUGCCGCGUGUGUGAAGAAGGCCUUCGGGUUGUAAAGCACUUUCAGUGGGGAAGAAAGCCUUGGGGCUAAUACCCUCGAGGAAGGACAUCACCCACAGAAGAAGCACCGGCUAACUCCGUGCCAGCAGCCGCGGUAAUACGGAGGGUGCGAGCGUUAAUCGGAAUUACUGGGCGUAAAGCGCGCGUAGGUGGUCUGAUAAGCCGGUUGUGAAAGCCCCGGGCUCAACCUGGGAACGGCAUCCGGAACUGUCAGGCUAGAGUGCAGGAGAGGAAGGUAGAAUUCCCGGUGUAGCGGUGAAAUGCGUAGAGAUCGGGAGGAAUACCAGUGGCGAAGGCGGCCUUCUGGACUGACACUGACGCUGAGGUGCGAAAGCGUGGGUAGCAAACAGGAUUAGAUACCCCAGUAGUC